rnacentral:rRNA from 1 species
GACAGAGGGUGCAAACGUUGCUCGGAAUCACUGGGCGUAAAGGGCGUGUAGGCGGACUUGCAAGUCAGGCGUGAAAUCCCUGGGCUCAACCCAGGAAUUGCACUUGAAACUGCAAGCCUUGAGUGUCGGAGAGGAAAGUGGAAUUCCUGGUGUAGAGGUGAAAUUCGUAGAUAUCAAGGAGGAACACCGGGUGGCGAAGGCGGCUUC